AUGUGAUCGUCUCUCGCAUAUCAAUAAGCGGAGGAAAAGAAACUAACAAGGAUUCCCUUAGUAACGGCGAGUGAAGCGGGAAGAGCUCAAAUUUGAGAUCUUCAAGGUUUUACCUUGACGAACUGUAGUUUAAAGAAGUGUUUUCUGUUGAAGUUUUGGUAAAAGUUCUUUGGAAUAGGACAUCAUAGAGGGUGAGAAUCCCGUAUUUGACCAUUAUUUUCAGCUGUGUGAUACACUUUCAAAGAGUCGGAUUGUUUGGGAAUGCAGUCCAAAAUGGGUGGUAAAUUUCAUCUAAAGCUAAAUAUUGGCGAGAGACCGAUAGCGAACAAGUACCGUGAGGGAAAGAUGAAAAGAACUUUGAAAAGAGAGUUAAGCAGUACGUGAAAUUGUCAAAAGGGAAGCGUUUGACACCAGUGUUGUUUUCUCGAAAAUCAAUUAAAAAGAGUUAGAUUUUGUUGUGUAUUGACCUUAACAGCUUGCAUUUCAAUUUUCUUGCUUUUUUUAAUGCACUUUUCGUUUAACAAGUCAACAUCAGUUUCUUUUGUUGUAAAAAGGUCAUUGGAAGGUGGCUUUCUUUUCGGAGAAAGUGUUUAUAGCCUUUGACUCCUGCAAUCGGAGAGACUGAGGUCUGCAGCGUAGAUCCUUCGGGGUUAGAUACAUUUGUGCUAAGUUAUAGCUUUUUAUAGACAACUUGUUGACUAUGAUUAGUCUUGUAGCUUACUCGCUUAUGCUAUUUUACCUACGCUUAGGAUGUUGAAGAUGUAGCACAUCAU
rnacentral:rRNA from 1 species